rnacentral:rRNA from 1 species
CGUCGUAUCAAAGCAGAACAUCAAAGGCCUGCUGGAACUCUGCAACCUAUAUCUAUUCCUGAAUGGAAAUGGGACCAUGUCGAGAUGGACUUCGUUACUGGAUUUCCCAAAUCGCAAAAGGGUAAUGAUGCUAUUCUUGUCGUCAUUGACCGACUUUCUAAGGUUGCACAUUUUCUGGCGGUCAAAGAAACGAUCACUGCUAGUCAGCUUGCAACUCUCUACAUGUCCAGAAUUGUUUCGCUCCACGGUAUUCCACUGGUUAUCAGUUCAGACCGUGGCAGUUUAUUCACUUCAAGAUUCUGGGCAAGUUUCCAAGAAGCUAUGGGCACUCAUCUGUCUUUCAGCACUGCUUUUCAUCCUCAGUCACAAGGGCAAGUUGAACGUGUCAAUCAAGUUCUCGAAGACAUGCUUCGAGCUUGUGUUAUUUCCUUCGGCAAGAAAUGGGAGGAAUCUCUUCCGUAUGCUGAGUUCUCUUAUAAUAAUAGCUAUCAAGCUAGUCUGAAGAUGGCCCCCUUCGAAGUGUUAUAUGGACGAAAGUGUCGGACCCCUCUGAACUGGUCAGAAACUGGGGAACGUCCACUCUUCGGUCCGGAUAUUAUCCAACAUGCCGAAGAACAAGUCCGCAUUAUUCGCGAGAAUCUCAAGACUGCUCAGUCCCGCCAAAAGAGUAAUUAUGACCGUCAUCAUAAAGACAUGGUCUAUCAACCUGGCGAAAAGGCCUAUCUUCGAGUUACACCAAUGAAGGGUGCUCACCGCUUCGGGAUCAAGGGCAAGCUAGCUCCUCGCUAUAUUGGCCCAUUCACUAUUCUCGAGAGGCGUGGAAAGGUGGCAUAUCAACUGGAGCUUCCGUCGAACCUUUCUCAGGUUCACGAUGUGUUCCAUGUGUCACAACUCCGCCGUUGCUUCAAGGACCCAAUCCGAGCUGUGGAUCAUGAAGUGCUCGAAUUGCAACAGGACCUCUCCUAUAAAGAGCAUCCGGUCCGCAUUCUCGACCAA